GCUAAUCUACUAUAGA
rnacentral:misc_RNA from 1 species